rnacentral:rRNA from 1 species
CUAGCGACUUCAGAGUUUGAUCCUGGCUCAGGACACGCUGGCGGCGUGCCUAACACAUGCAAGUCGAACGGGGUGAGAUCCUUCGGGAUUUCACUUAGUGGCGAACGGGUGAGUAACGCGUGAGGAACCUGCCUUUUAUGGGGGACAACAGUUGGAAACGACUGCUAAUACCGCAUAAUACAGUCGAGCGGCAUCGCUUGACUGUCAAGGCUUUAUGUGCUGAAAGAUGGCCUCGCGUCUGAUUAGCUAGUUGGUGGGGUAACGGCCCACCAAGGCGACGAUCAGUAGCCGGUCUGAGAGGAUGAACGGCCACAUUGGGACUGAGAUACGGCCCAG